ensembl:lncRNA
CUGCAUUUAACCCAUCCAAGUGCACACACACAGCAGUGAGUAGUGAACAAACACACACACACACACACACACACACACACACACACACACACACACACACACACACACACACACACACACACACACCUGGAGCAGUGGGAAGCUCGGGUCUCACCUCAGUCGUUGUAUUGAGGGUGGAGAGAGUGCUGGACAUUCACUCCCCCACCUACAAUCCCUGCCGGACCCGGACAAGUCCAACUUUCUAACCAUUAGGUCACAACUGCCUCAUUUACAUCCUAACAUCAUGUAAAAGGGGAUUUUGCAUAAUAGGUGCCCUUUAAGACUAGUCUAUGCAGUUUAUGUAACCAGCCCCAUAACUAAUUGUUGUUGUACCACUGUGAUACCAAUGAAAUAUACACGAAUCUAACAUUGUAAGAUUUGCUCAUUCAGUGUUUAUUAUGCAAAUGAGCGGACAACAGGAAGGCUGCAAGGGACUGGAUGAUGGUCACCCAGUGUUGAGUACAGUAUCUCAGACUGCAGGGGAUCAUGCAGGACAGGCUCAGUAGAUUGUAUCACUGAAGGUUUGUGGUGGCAAUAGAAGGUAUGAUUGCUGACUAAAGGAUCCAUUAAAUGAUUUGUUUGAGUAUGAGCUGUUGAGGACAUCUCCAUCUCUGAUCCACAACUGUUCAAGAGAAUCAGGGUAAAAUUCCACAGAGCACAGAAUCAUGGUAGAUCCAUCAGGCCUCUUCACACAGGACAGCAACAAGACGGGACGCACUGAGAGGCAGAAUUAAUACACAAAAUACAAUACUUAUCAUUCAGAUCUACCUAACUAUCUCUCUAAUCUAAUCUAUCCGUAAUCUAUAAUUUUUUUCUUCUGAUUAUUAAGAAAUGAUUUACCAAUAACUUGAACUCUUUGAACUCCGAGAUCCACUUGAGGUGGUUUUACAAUCCUCUUCACAGUACAGGUGUAUGUGCCGGUAUCCUGAACUUGGAGAUUUAAGAGUUCAAAUGUUAUGUCAUUAGUCUCUGGAAUCCCAGUGAAUCUGACAGGAUCUUUACAAUGGUGGGUUUUCCAUGUAUUGUCAUAAAAGUAAUAUGAACACAGUGAAAGAUUUAAUGUUUGCAGAACUGCCGUCAUGCUUUCUGUGUCAUUUGUUGGGUUGUAGUUGCAUCUGAUUUUGGCAGACUGUCCAUGAUUGACAAAUAAAGUUGUAGUGUGAUUCACUGCCACAUCGCCAAAAGCUAAAAACAAAAAACAAAGACAAGCAGCAAAUUGAAUUUCUCAUGCCAAGCUGUGAAUUGCAACAUUUAGGUUCUCUUUG